rnacentral:rRNA from 1 species
CAGUCGCCGCGGUAAAACGGAGGGGGCUAGCGUUGUUCGGAAUUACUAGGCGUAAAGCGCACGUAGGCGGCUUUGUAAGUUAGAGGUGAAAGCCCGGAGCUCAACUCCGGAAUUGCCUUUAAGACUGCAUCGCUUGAACCCAGGAGAGGUGAGUGGAAUUCCGAGUGUAGAGGUGAAAUUCGUAGAUAUUCGGAAGAACACCAGUGGCGAAGGCGGCUCACUGGACUGGUAUUGACGCUGAGGUGCGAAAGCGUGGGGAGCAAACAGGAUUAGAUACCCCCGUAGUCCCUGUCUCUUAUAC